rnacentral:rRNA from 1 species
GAUGAACGCUGGCGGCGUGCCUAAUACAUGCAAGUCGAGCGAACAGACGAGGAGCUUGCUCCUCUGACGUUAGCGGCGGACGGGUGAGUAACACGUGGAUAACCUACCUAUAAGACUGGGAUAACUUCGGGAAACCGGAGCUAAUACCGGAUAAUAUAUUGAACCGCAUGGUUCAAUAGUGAAAGACGGUUUUGCUGUCACUUAUAGAUGGAUCCGCGCCGUAUUAGCUAGUUGGUAAGGUAACGGCUUACCAAGGCAACGAUGCGUAGCCGACCUGAGAGGGUGAUCGGCCCCACUGGAACUGAGACACGGUCCAGACUCCUACGGGAGGCAGCAGUAGGGAAUCUUCCGCAAUGGGCGAAAGCCUGACGGAGCAACGCCGCGUGAGUGAUGAAGGUCUUCGGAUCGUAAAACUCUGUUAUUAGGGAAGAACAAAUGUGUAAGUAACUAUGCACGUCUUGACGGUACCUAAUCAGAAAGCCACGGCUAACUACGUG